AGAAUGACUCUCGGCAACGGAUAUCUAGGCUCUUGCAUCGAUGAAGAACGUAGCGAAAUGCGAUACUUGGUGUGAAUUGCAGAAUCCCGUGAACCAUCGAGUCUUUGAACGCAAGUUGCGCCCGAUGCCACUAGGUUGAGGGCACGUCUGCCUGGGCGUCACAU
rnacentral:rRNA from 4 species